GGAAAUUGUUGUUGGGUUUUGUGUGGGGAUGCUGCUGUUUGCGUGUGUGCAUGUAAAUAGGGGCUGCAUGUAAAUAGGUGAUAUGAGUUGGAGUGUUUGUUGUGGAGGAUAGAUGCAUUGUGUGUAUGUUGUCGCUGGAUAGGGGCUUUAGUGUAGGUUGUUGUGGAUAGGUGCUGUUGUGUGUGUGUUGAGGGGGAGAAAGCGACUGUCCUGGGGGUGAUAGGGACUCUGGGGCAGAUAUGCAUUGUAGUGUGUGAUAGGGUCUAUGGUGGUGGCAAUAAAGGCUAUAGUGGGGAAGUUUGACUAUAGUGUAUGGAUAUUGGCUGAGAG